rnacentral:rRNA from 1 species
AGAGUUUGAUCCUGGCUCAGGAUGAACGCUAGCUACAGGCUUAACACAUGCAAGUCGAGGGGAAACGAUAUUGGAAGCUUGCUUCCGAUAGGCGUCGACCGGCGCACGGGUGAGUAACGCGUAUCCAACCUGCCCAUCACUUGGGGAUAACCUUGCGAAAGUAAGACUAAUACCCAAUGACGUCUCUAGAAGACAUCUGAAAGAGAUUAAAGAUUUAUCGGUGAUGGAUGGGGAUGCGUCUGAUUAGCUUGUUGGCGGGGUAACGGCCCACCAAGGCGACGAUCAGUAGGGGUUCUGAGAGGAAGGUCCCCCACAUUGGAACUGAGACACGGUCCAAACUCCUACGGGAGGCAGCAGUGAGGAAUAUUGGUCAAUGGACGAGAGUCUGAACCAGCCAAGUAGCGUGCAGGAAGACGGCCCUAUGGGUUGUAAACUGCUUUUAUAAGGGAAUAAAGUGAGUCUCGUGAGACUUUUUGCAUGUACCUUAUGAAUAAGGACCGGCUAAUUCCGUGCCAGCAGCCGCGGUAAUACGGAAGGUCCGGGCGUUAUCCGGAUUUAUUGGGUUUAAAGGGAGCGUAGGCCGGAGAUUAAGCGUGUUGUGAAAUGUAGACGCUCAACGUCUGCACUGCAGCGCGAACUGGUUUCCUUGAGUACGCACAAAGUGGGCGGAAUUCGUGGUGUAGCGGUGAAAUGCUUAGAUAUCACGAAGAACUCCGAUUGCGAAGGCAGCUCACUGGAGCGCAACUGACGCUGAAGCUCGAAAGUGCGGGUAUCGAACAGGAUUAGAUACCCUGGUAGUCCGCACGGUAAACGAUGGAUGCCCGCUGUUGGUCUGAAUAGGUCAGCGGCCAAGCGAAAGCAUUAAGCAUCCCACCUGGGGAGUACGCCGGCAACGGUGAAACUCAAAGGAAUUGACGGGGGCCCGCACAAGCGGAGGAACAUGUGGUUUAAUUCGAUGAUACGCGAGGA